GACGAACGCUGGCGGCGUGCUUAACACAUGCAAGUCGAACGGAAAGGCCCUGCUUUUGUGGGGUGCUCGAGUGGCGAACGGGUGAGUAACACGUGAGUAACCUGCCCUUGACUUUGGGAUAACUUCAGGAAACUGGGGCUAAUACCGGAUAGGAGCUCCUGCUGCAUGGUGGGGGUUGGAAAGUUUCGGCGGUUGGGGAUGGACUCGCGGCUUAUCAGCUUGUUGGUGGGGUAGUGGCUUACCAAGGCUUUGACGGGUAGCCGGCCUGAGAGGGUGACCGGCCACAUUGGGACUGAGAUACGGCCCAGACUCCUACGGGAGGCAGCAGUGGGAAUAUUGCACAAUGGGCGGAAGCCUGAUGCAGCAACGCCGCGUGCGGGAUGACGGCCUUCGGGUUGUAAACCGCUUUCACCUGUGACGAAGCGUGAGUGACGGUAAUGGGUAAAGAAGCACCGGCUAACUACGUG
rnacentral:rRNA from 1 species